GCGGAUGUGGCGGAAUGGCAGACGCGCACGGUUCAGGUCCGUGUGAAUUCUAUUCGUGCAGGUUCAACUCCUGUCAUCCGCA
rnacentral:tRNA from 1 species